AUUGAACGCUGGCGGCAGGCCUAACACAUGCAAGUCGAGCGGAUGAAGAGAGCUUGCUCUCUGAUUUAGCGGCGGACGGGUGAGUAAUGCCUAGGAAUCUGCCUGGUAGUGGGGGAUAACGUCCGGAAACGGGCGCUAAUACCGCAUACGUCCUACGGGAGAAAGCAGGGGACCUUCGGGCCUUGCGCUAUCAGAUGAGCCUAGGUCGGAUUAGCUAGUUGGUGAGGUAAUGGCUCACCAAGGCGACGAUCCCUAGCUGGUUUGAGAGGAUGAUCAGCCACACUGGAACUGAGACACGGUCCAGACUCCUACGGGAGGCAGCAGUGGGGAAUAUUGGACAAUGGGCGCAAGCCUGAUCCAGCCAUGCCGCGUGUGUGAAGAAGGCCUUCGGGUUGUAAAGCACUUUCAGUAGGGAGGAAGGGUGUUGUGUUAAUAGCACAGCAUUUUGACGUUACCUACAGAAGAAGCACCGGCUAACUCUGUGCCAGCCGCCGCCGUAAUAC
rnacentral:rRNA from 1 species